UGCAUGUGUGUGUGUGUGUGUGUGUGUGUGUGUGUGUUUUAAUAGGAGUCAUCUCUCUGUCUCCUUCUCUCAGUUAACGACACGCUGGACGAGAUCUUUGACGAGUCUGGAGACGAGGAGGAGUCUGAUAGCAUCGUUAACCAGGUUCUGGACGAGAUCGGCAUCGAGAUAUCAGGAAAGAUGGUGAACGCUCCUUCAACCAGCAGAAACAAACCCACCUCUUCUGCCACCAAAUCAGACGGCAUCUCAGACGAAGACAUCGAACGACAGCUCAAAGCCUUGGGAGUGGACUAACACACACACACACACCCUGUGCCUGGACACACACACACACACACACACACCCUGUGCCUGGACUAACACACACACACACACCCUGUGCCUGGACUAACACACACACACACACCCUGUGCCUGGACACACACCCUGUGCCUGGACACACACACACACCCUGUGCCUGGACACACACACACACACGACUCCCCCUGCUCAGUUUCUGACAUGCCUUUUCUGGGAUAUAGUGACACUAUUCUAUUUAUAUAUAUAUAUAUAUAUAUAGUCUAUAUGACUAUAGAUGGCACUUGAUGUAGUUGUAGAGGUCCUGCUGUGUAUUGGGUCUACGCAGUGGGCCACACAAGGAGAGAGAGUUUUGAAUAACAGGGCCACCACGUUCAGUAGCCUAACGCUGCAGAACGUUGCUGAUACAAUAAAAUGUAACGAAUAAGAGUCUCAUUCUACACGUCAGAGAGGCGUGUUUUCGUUCUGUAUAGCACAUUCCUAUCUGAACGUUGCAAAACGUUUUCGUCCUACUGAACGCGCCCCAACAGGUUUUCCACCUGUGUGGAGUUCUAGAACAGGAAGUAAAGGAGAAUGCUGCUUUAGUUCCAGGUCAGUGCUCCAAAAGGUCACGGGAUUUAUCCAGAUUUAAAGUUAAUAACAGCCUAUCAAUUAAAAAAAGAAACGGGAAAGUUGAA